UACGGAGGGUGCAAGCGUUGUCCGGAAUCACUGGGCGUAAAGGGCGCGUAGGCGGCCCGGUAAGUAGGGGGUGAAAUCCUGCGGCUUAACCGCAGGGCUGCCUUCUAAACUGUCGGGCUCGAGCACGGUAGAGGCAGAUGGAAUUCCCGGUGUAGCGGUGGAAUGCGUAGAGAUCGGGAAGAACAUCAGUGGCGAAGGCGGUCUGCUGGGCCGUUGCUGACGCUGGAGGCGCGACAGCGUGGGGAGCAAACAGG
rnacentral:rRNA from 1 species